CACGGCUACAUUAGUACCUUUCUAGAAAGCAAAGCCUUUAAAAAUUUAAUACACUGACUUCUGAAGGGUGAGUAUGGUUUUGGCAGGCAAAGAAAGGUGCUCUCGGUAGACAGGCAAGAUGAAGAGCCAAAGCAGAAAAAAGAAAAAGCAGUGAAACUCCUGGGGGUUGAAACCUCCAGAAAGAUAAACACUCAGAUAUUUAGAGAUAGCCAAGUUUUUCACUGACUUAUUUCAGGCCUCAUGUUUGGUGGAUAUGGACAGAGAUUCUUAAAAAGUUGCUAAGAGAGAUUUGUUUGCACCACAAAAAAAUGAUAUGAGGUAAUACAUAUGCUAAAUAGCUUGAUUUAGCCAUUCCACAAUGUAUACAUAUUCUGAGAUUCUCAAGACUGGCAGAAAAAUAACUUCAGAAACUGGUCCCAAAUUGGUAACUGAAGAUAAGUUGGAGGGCAGUUCCUUCCUCAAGUGUUGCCAUAUAUCUUACUUCACUGCAUGUUGAUAGUGUAUUAAAAUUGAAAUAAAAAUAAAAUAUUAUCUGUGCCAUUAAACCUGACCAA
rnacentral:lncRNA from 1 species